GGGAAAGUUGACUUUGAAUUAAUGGACUGUAAUCAAGAAGAGGAAGAACUUUUAAUUGUGUGUGUUACUCUCGUACCGUUUGCGCCGAGGACUUUUAUUUACUUUACAGGAAAAAAAACGUGGAAUUUUUGCACGUGCUUUAGUGACUGUCGCACACGUUUCAUCUACUUUCACUUUUUUUUUUUUUUUUUUUUUCAAACGUCUUUCGAUAUACAUUUUUUAAAUGGUUCGUACGAUCAAGUCCGGUUGCGGAGACUCACGUGUCACGUUAUCACAUCGUACUCACGUAAUUACACGUCAAACGCGUGCGACUCUUCUGUAACGGCUCUAGAAAUGAAAAGAAUGGUUUUUCACUGAGGUCUUGUAUACAGAGGACAUUUUGCAGGCGCAGGAAGCUACUGGAAAUUCAGACACUGACAACAAUGCGAAAAACGAUAAAAUAUGGAUCACUUCCGGUACGGAUGUAAAGUCCGAGCGAUGGAAGUCCAUUUCACGAAGGUACGACAGAGAGCGAAAUAGAUCCAAGACUUGAACCUGAGCUUGGCUUGGUCUUGACGACUGACCGAUUUCAGCUCUCCUGGACUCUGGUGCAGCUGCGGUUUCUGUGAGAUCCCACAGUCUCACUGGCACUGGAGCUGCCAAUCAGGCUCACAGAGGCACGCGCCUGCAACCUGAACCCUGCGCCCGCCGCUCAUUACGCUAAUGAGGCAGAGCGCGCUGGAGGUGUGCUGAUGAAGGUCUCAUGCGGCUCUGAGCUGAAACUGCU
ensembl:lncRNA